UAUUAGUAGUGAAAAAAAACGAUUCGCUUCUUUCCCCUUCCCUUCUCGCGAAUAGACCCAACGCGCUGCUGGGGCGACGAACAGGGGCGGCCCGACGCGGGUUAGGUUUUUGCGCCGCCGCCGCCCGUCCGGCGCCGCCCUGCGACGCCGACCUCACCUCCAACGGCGGCGCCCGACGCAUCCCUGCUCCGACGGCGGCGCGACGCCGCCCGUGCUCAAGCCGGCCGGCCGCCGCCCGUCCGGCGCCGCGUCUCCCGUCGCCCUUCUGGCUCCGCCCUGCUUCGACUGCUGAUUGUCAAUGUAUUAUACUGUAUUGAUUAUUGAGGGAAGUACCAGGACUGGCUGAAAGAAUGGCAGCAUUGAUGUGUGUGGAUCUGGACAGGAGAACUGAGCUUGAAGAAACAGAUGAACAGGACAAUGGGAAUGGAGGGAGUUUUGAGAAUGCCUUGGAGAUAGUUGAGAAAGGAAGGAUUAGAAUCCAGGAGAAGGGAAGUGACUUUGCUGCAUGGCUGGAACUUGAGGAGCAUAAACCAAAAAGUUGUUUAUCUGCCUGAUCUGAUAAAAAAUAUAUCCUGCUGUGCAAUAUCUUUGUA